rnacentral:rRNA from 1 species
GGGUUGUGAGGUUAAGCGACUAAGCGUACACGGUGGAUGCCCUGGCAGUCAGAGGCGAUGAAGGACGUGCUAAUCUGCGAAAAGCGCCGGCGAGGUGAUAUGAACCUUUGACCCGGCGAUGUCCGAAUGGGGAAACCCAGUGCAAUCCGUUGCACUAUCGUUAACUGAAUACAUAGGUUAACGAGGCGAACCGGGGGAACUGAAACAUCUAAGUACCCCGAGGAAAAGAAAUCAACCGAGAUUCCCCCAGUAGCGGCGAGCGAACGGGGAGCAGCCCGGAGUCUGAAUCAGCUUGUGUGUUAGUGGAACGGUCUGGAAAGUCCGACGGUACAGGGUGAUAGUCCCGUACACGAAAGCACACAUGCUGUGAACUCGAAGAGUAGGGCGGGACACGUGGUAUCCUGUCUGAAUAUGGGGGGACCAUCCUCCAAGGCUAAAUACUCCUGACUGACCGAUAGUGAACCAGUACCGUGAGGGAAAGGCGAAAAGAACCCCGGCGAGGGGAGUGAAAAAGAACCUGAAACCGUGUACGUACAAGCAGUGGGAGCCUCUUUAUGGGGUGACUGCGUACCUUUUGUAUAAUGGGUCAGCGACUUAUAUUCUGUAGCAAGGUUAACCGUAUAGGGGAGCCGAAGGGAAACCGAGUCUUAACUGGGCGUUAAGUUGCAGGGUAUAGACCCGAAACCCGGUGAUCUAGCCAUGGGCAGGUUGAAGGUUGGGUAACACUAACUGGAGGACCGAACCGACUAAUGUUGAAAAAUUAGCGGAUGACCUGUGGCUGGGGGUGAAAGGCCAAUCAAACCGGGAGAUAGCUGGUUCUCCCCGAAAGCUAUUUAGGUAGCGCCUCGUGAACUCAUCUUCGGGGGUAGAGCACUGUUUCGGCUAGGGGGCCAUCCCGGCUUACCAACCCGAUGCAAACUACGAAUACCGAAGAAUGUUAUCACGGGAGACACACGGCGGGUGCUAACGUCCGUCGUGAAGAGGGAAACAACCCAGACCGCCAGCUAAGGUCCCAAAGUCAUGGUUAAGUGGGAAACGAUGUGGGAAGGCACAGACAGCCAGGAUGUUGGCUUAGAAGCAGCCAUCAUUUAAAGAAAGCGUAAUAGCUCACUGGUCGAGUCGGCCUGCGCGGAAGAUGUAACGGGGCUAAACCAUGCACCGAAGCUGCGGCAGCGACGCUUAGGCGUUGUUGGGUAGGGGAGCGUUCUGUAAGCCGUUGAAGGUGUCCUGUGAGGGGUGCUGGAGGUAUCAGAAGUGCGAAUGCUGACAUAAGUAACGAUAAAGCGGGUGAAAAGCCCGCUCGCCGGAAGACCAAGGGUUCCUGUCCAACGUUAAUCGGGGCAGGGUGAGUCGACCCCUAAGGCGAGGCCGAAAGGCGUAGUCGAUGGGAAACAGGUUAAUAUUCCUGUACUUGGUGUUACUGCGAAGGGGGGACGGAGAAGGCUAUGUCAGCCGGGCGACGGUUGUCCCGGUUUAAGCAUGUAGGCGGAGGUUCCAGGUAAAUCCGGUACCUUAUUAACGCUGAGGUGUGAUGACGAGGCACUACGGUGCUGAAGUGAUAAAUGCCCUGCUUCCAGGAAAAGCCUCUAAGCAUCAGGUAACACGAAAUCGUACCCCAAACCGACACAGGUGGUCAGGUAGAGAAUACCAAGGCGCUUGAGAGAACUCGGGUGAAGGAACUAGGCAAAAUGGUGCCGUAACUUCGGGAGAAGGCACGCUGAUAUGUAGGUGAAGCCCCUGCGGGCGGAGCUGAAAUCAGUCGAAGAUACCAGCUGGCUGCAACUGUUUAUUAAAAACACAGCACUGUGCAAACACGAAAGUGGACGUAUACGGUGUGACGCCUGCCCGGUGCCGGAAGGUUAAUUGAUGGGGUUAGCGGCAACGCGAAGCUCUUGAUCGAAGCCCCGGUAAACGGCGGCCGUAACUAUAACGGUCCUAAGGUAGCGAAAUUCCUUGUCGGGUAAGUUCCGACCUGCACGAAUGGCGUAAUGAUGGCCAGGCUGUCUCCACCCGAGACUCAGUGAAAUUGAACUCGCUGUGAAGAUGCAGUGUACCCGCGGCAAGACGGAAAGACCCCGUGAACCUUUACUAUAGCUUGACACUGAACACUGGUCCUUGAUGUGUAGGAUAGGUGGGAGGCUUUGAAGCGUGGACGCCAGUCUGCGUGGAGCCAACCUUGAAAUACCACCCUUUAAUGGCUGGUGUUCUAACGUAGACCCGUAAUCCGGGUUGCGGACAGUGUCUGGUGGGUAGUUUGACUGGGGCGGUCUCCUCCCAAAGAGUAACGGAGGAGCACGAAGGUUGGCUAAUCCUGGUCGGACAUCAGGAGGUUAGUGCAAUGGCAUAAGCCAGCUUGACUGCGAGCGUGACGGCGCGAGCAGGUGCGAAAGCAGGUCAUAGUGAUCCGGUGGUUCUGAAUGGAAGGGCCAUCGCUCAACGGAUAAAAGGUACUCCGGGGAUAACAGGCUGAUACCGCCCAAGAGUUCAUAUCGACGGCGGUGUUUGGCACCUCGAUGUCGGCUCAUCACAUCCUGGGGCUGAAGUAGGUCCCAAGGGUAUGGCUGUUCGCCAUUUAAAGUGGUACGCGAGCUGGGUUUAGAACGUCGUGAGACAGUUCGGUCCCUAUCUGCCGUGGGCGCUGGAGAAUUGAGGGGGGCUGCUCCUAGUACGAGAGGACCGGAGUGGACGCAUCACUGGUGUUCGGGUUGUCAUGCCAAUGGCACUGCCCGGUAGCUAAAUGCGGAAGAGAUAAGUGCUGAAAGCAUCUAAGCACGAAACUUGCCCCGAGAUGAGUUCUCCCUGAGACCUUGAGUCUCCUGAAGGAACGUUGAAGACUACGACGUUGAUAGGUCGGGUGUGUAAGCGCAGCGAUGCGUUGAGCUAACCGAUACUAAUGAACCGUGAGGCUUAACCUUACAACGCCGAAG